CAAGGCCAUCGUGGAUCGUGCUGUGGCGGCAUGGAGCAGGGGAGGAUUUGGGCCAUGGGCAUGAGGGAAGGAGCAGCGAGGUCAGAGUUCCAGGCGGUGCCGGCCGUCGUCACAUGUCCCCAGUCUAGAUCUGAGAAAAAAAAGAGAAGUGGGUGAAUCUUGAGGAAGAGCUUGGUGAAGAACAAGGUGUUCCUAAUAGCAAAGGUGGUAAUCAAUGAUGAGAAAAAAGGGACCGAGAUUGGAUUUCUGCUAGGUAUGUUCCUCAUCUCUCUCAGCUCUUGUUCCAAUCCCCACCCUGAUGUAACUGCUUCUUCACA